rnacentral:rRNA from 1 species
CAGUAGCCCGGUAAUACGAAGGGUGCAAGCGUUACUCGGAAUUACUGGGCGUAAAGCGUGCGUAGGUGGUGGUUUAAGUCCGUUGUGAAAGCCCUGGGCUCAACCUGGGAAUUGCAGUGGAUACUGGGUCACUAGAGUGUGGUAGAGGAUAGUGGAAUUUCCGGUGUAGCAGUGAAAUGCGUAGAGAUCGGAAGGAACAUCUGUGGCGAAGGCGACUAUCUGGGCCAACACUGACACUGAGGCACGAAAGCGUGGGGAGCAAACAGGAUUAGAUACCCCUGUAGUCCCUGUCUCUUAUACA